AUUGAACGCUGGCGGCAUGCCUUACACAUGCAAGUCGAACGGUAACGGGCCUUCGGGUGCCGACGAGUGGCGAACGGGUGAGUAAUACAUCGGAACGUGCCCGAUCGUGGGGGAUAACGAGGCGAAAGCUUUGCUAAUACCGCAUACGAUCUACGGAUGAAAGCAGGGGACCGCAAGGCCUUGCGCGGACGGAGCGGCCGAUGGCAGAUUAGGUAGUUGGUGGGAUAAAAGCUUACCAAGACGACGAUCUGUAGCUGGUCUGAGAGGAUGAUCAGCCACACUGGGACUGAGACACGGCCCAGACUCCUACGGGAGGCAGCAGUGGGGAAUUUUGGACAAUGGGCGCAAGCCUGAUCCAGCCAUGCCGCGUGCAGGAUGAAGGCCUUCGGGUUGUAAACUGCUUUUGUACGGAACGAAAAGCCUUCUUUUAAUACAGGAGGGUCAUGACGGUACCGUAAGAAUAAGCACCGGCUAACUACGUG
rnacentral:rRNA from 1 species